UGAGGAGCUAUGCAGUUGAUGGCUGCUAUGGGAGAGGAAUCACUUCCCUAAGGGAUGCAGCCACCAGAAGGCUGCCACUCUCCAAAAUGCCGAGCAAGCCAUCGGACAAGCUAGGGUCUCCGCCACUGUAAGAUCACGCCUCCGCCCUCUGAGGCUUGGUUGCCAACCCUCUGAAGUCGCAGGUCAUACUCCGAGCAUUGUCCCCUGAUCUACUUUCAGCCCGCGACUCACACUGGGCUCGUCGCUUCCCUCUCUACUUUGCUUCCGAAAAACCGAUUCUACGACAGCAUCCGGAACACAGUCGCAAAGGAAAAAAAAGGGGGGGGGGGUGCCGCAGGAAAACGACUACAAGCUGGGCUCACCUGGGGCUGCACAGUGCUCGACAGGGAGAACAUCUCUGGGCCCUCGGGACCGUACCCACCAGCCGGAACUGCUUCCUAUCUUCGGUUCAGCGGGAAGGGGCUGAGCCCUCUUAUUUUCUCGUUAUUUCCCCCUCGCUUUCCUCUCGGCUUCUUCCUUAUUCUUCCCAGAAA